GACGAACGCUGGCGGCGUGCCUAAUACAUGCAAGUUGAGCGCUGAAGGUUGGUACUUGUACCGACUGGAUGAGCAGCGAACGGGUGAGUAACGCGUGGGGAAUCUGCCUUUGAGCGGGGGACAACAUUUGGAAACGAAUGCUAAUACCGCAUAAAAACUUUAAACACAAGUUUUAAGUUUGAAAGAUGCAAUUGCAUCACUCAAAGAUGAUCCCGCGUUGUAUUAGCUAGUUGGUGAGGUAAAGGCUCACCAAGGCGAUGAUACAUAGCCGACCUGAAAGGGUGAUCGGCCACAUUGGGACUGAGACACGGCCCAAACUCCUACGGGAGGCAGCAGUAGGGAAUCUUCGGCAAUGGACGAAAGUCUGACCGAGCAACGCCGCGUGAGUGAAGAAGGUUUUCGGAUCGUAAAACUCUGUUGGUAGAGAAGAACGUUGGUGAGAGUGGAAAGCUCAUCAAGUGACGGUAACUACCCAGAAAGGGACGGCU
rnacentral:rRNA from 1 species